GACGUAGGUGGCGAACGUUAUCCGGAAUUAUUGGGCGUAAAGGAUGCGUAGAUGGUGUAGUAAGUUAUCGGUGGCAAAUCGAGGCUCAACCUCGUGGAAGUCGGUAAUACUGCUAUGCUAGAGGAUAGGAGAGGUUAACGGAACUCCCUGUGGAGCGGUGAAAUGCGUAGAUAUCUGGAGGAACACCGGUGGCGAAGGCGGCAUCCUGGACCGGCAUUGGACGCUGAGGAGCGAAAGCCAGGGGAGCAAACGGG
rnacentral:rRNA from 1 species